UCUCCGUUGGUGAACCAGCGGAGGGAUCAUUACCGAGUUUACACAACUCCCAAACCUUCUGUGAACCUUACCCGUACGUUGCUUCGGCGGAGGCGCCCGCGCCGCCGCCGGGGGUACCUUGAAACUCUUGUUUACCGCAGCGGAAUCUUACGAAUAUCUGAGUGGCACAAGCAAAAAAUAAAUAAAAACUUUCAACAACGGAUCUCUUGGUUCUGGCAUCGAUGAAGAACGCAGC
rnacentral:misc_RNA from 1 species